GACGAACGCUGGCGGCGUGCUUAACACAUGCAAGUCGAACGGAAAGGCCCUGCUUUUGUGGGUUGCUCGAGUUGCGAACGGGUGAGUAACACGUGCGUAACCUGCCCUUGCCUUUGGGAUAACUUCAGGAAACUGGGGCUAAUUCCGGCUAGGAGCUCCUGCUGCACGGUGGGGGUUGGAAAGUUGCGGCGGGUGGGGAUGGACUUGGGGCUUAUCAGCCUGCUGGUUGGGUGGUGGAUUACCAAGGCUUUGACGGGUGGCCGGCCUGGGAGGGUGACAGGCCACAGUGGGACUGAGAUACGGCCCAGAGGCAUACGGGCGGAAGCAGUGGGGAUUAUUGCACACAGGGCGGAGGGCGGAUGCAGGAACGCCGGGUGCGAAAGGACGGCUGUCAGGUUGGAAACGGCUUUCGCCUGUGACGAAGCGUGAGGGAGGGUAAUGGGUAAAGAAGCACCGGCAAACUACGG
rnacentral:rRNA from 1 species